rnacentral:rRNA from 1 species
CCUACGGGAGGCAGCAGUGAGGAAUAUUGGUCAAUGGACGCAACUCUGAACCAGCCAUGCCGCGUGCAGGAAGACGGCCCUAUGAGUUGUAAACUGCUUUUAUACGAGGAUAAACGCAGAUACGCGUAUCUUACUGAAAGUAUCGUACGAAUAAGGAUCGGCUAACUCCGUGCCAGCAGCCGCGGUAAUACGGAGGGUUCAAGCGUUAUCCGGAUUUAUUGGGUUUAAAGGGUGCGUAGGCGGUCGGUUAAGUGUGUGGUGAAAUCCCGAGGCUCAACCUCGGAAUUGCAUCUGGUACUGUUCGGCUUGAGAGUAGCUGCGGUAGGCGGAAUGUAUGGUGUAGCGGUGAAAUGCUUAGAGAUCAUACAGAACACCGAUUGCGAAGGCAGCUUACCAUGCUAUUUCUGACGUUGAGGCACGAAAGCGUGGGGAGCGAACAGGAUUAGAUACCCCAGUAGUC